CUGGCGGCGUGCCUAAUACAUGCAAGUCGAACGGCUUUUCUAUGGAAGCUUGCUUCCACUGAGAAGAUAGUGGCGAACGGGUGAGUAACACGUGGGUAACCUGCCCAUAAGAGGGGGAUAACAUCCGGAAACGGGUGCUAAUACCGCAUAGUUUUCUUGAUCGCAUGAUUGAGAAAGGAAAGACGGCCUUUGUGCUGUCGCUUAUGGAUGGACCCGCGGCGUAUUAGUUAGUUGGUGAGGUAACGGCUCACCAAGACGAUGAUACGUAGCCGACCUGAGAGGGUGAUCGGCCACAUUGGGACUGAGACACGGCCCAAACUCCUACGGGAGGCAGCAGUAGGGAAUCUUCCGCAAUGGACGAAAGUCUGACGGAGCAACGCCGCGUGAGUGAAGAAAAGGUUUUCGGAUCGUAAAACUCUGUUGUCAGAGAAGAACAAGUUGGAGAGUAACUGCUCCAGCCUUGACGGUAUCUGACCAGAAAGCCACGGCUAACUACGUGCCAGCCGCAGC
rnacentral:rRNA from 1 species